rnacentral:misc_RNA from 1 species
AAGUCGUAACAAGGUUUCCGUAGGUGAACCUGCGGAAGGAUCAUUAUCGUGAUUUUUAAUACAAAUCAACGUAUUCACCAAAUUGUGAACUGUUUUUAACUAUAACCUUUUGAUUAGGGUUGUUAGGAAAAAAGAGAAGCUAAUUCUUGGUCCGUGGCGUCAUUUCUUUUGAAAUGAACUCUUUUCUUGAAUGAUUUGAAAAGAGGAAGGCCUGGAUUAUGAAUUCUUUUUGAGCCUAGCUCAAGAACUUCUCCUUUUUCUAACUUUACUCAAAAGUGUAUCCAAAUCAUUCUUUAAAACCUUUUAAUUUUAAUUUACCACUUGUAUCUAAUUGUACUAACUUAACUUCAAACGACAUUUGUUUCUGGAAACGGAAACGUUGCCUUUGAAAUUUACGAAAUUGCUGAACAACUCUUAGCAACGGAUAUCUUGGUUCUC